rnacentral:rRNA from 1 species
AUUGAACGCUGGCGGCAUGCCUUACACAUGCAAGUCGAACGGCAGCACGGGGCAACCUGGUGGCGAGUGGCGAACGGGUGAGUAAUGCAUCGGAACGUACCUUUCAGUGGGGGAUAACGUAGCGAAAGUUACGCUAAUACCGCAUAUUCUGUGAGCAGGAAAGCAGGGGAUCGCAAGACCUUGCGCUGAUUGAGCGGCCGAUGCCAGAUUAGCUAGUUGGUGAGGUAAAGGCUCACCAAGGCGACGAUCUGUAGCGGGUCUGAGAGGAUGAUCCGCCACACGGGAACGGAGACACGGUCCAGACUCCUACGGGAGGCAGCAGUGGGGAAUUUUGGACAAUGGGGGCAACCCUGAUCCAGCCAUGCCGCGUGAGUGAAGAAGGCCUUCGGGUUGUAAAGCUCUUUCGGCCGGGUAGAAAUCGCACGGGCUAAUACCCUGUGUGGAUGACGGUACCGGAAUAAGAAGCACCGGCUAACUACGUGCCAGCAGCCGCCGUAACAC